rnacentral:rRNA from 1 species
UACGUAGGGGGCAAGCGUUGUCCGGAUUUAUUGGGCGUAAAGAGCGUGUAGGCGGCCAUACAGGUCCGUUGUGAAAACUGGAGGCUUAACCUCCAGACGUCGAUGGAAACCGUAUGGCUAGAGUCCGGAAGAGGAGAGUGGAAUUCCUGGUGUAGCGGUGAAAUGCGCAGAUAUCAGGAAGAACACCCGUGGCGAAGGCGGCUCUCUGGGACGGUACUGACGCUGAGACGCGAAAGCGUGGGGAGCAAACGGG